UAAAUAAACAAUUACUUAGUUUCUAUGUAAAGUCUUUAAUGUUGACGACAAAAUUGAUGGAAAAUAAUAAUAAUAGUCCAAAUUGAUCAACACAUAAUUUUCAAUGUCAAUGUGAUAGAAAAUCUUCCGGAACUAUUUAUAAUCAGUAUCUUUGAAGGUUUAUGCAACUAAAUUAUUUGGCUACCAUAAUUUAUUAGAGCAGUAUUGUUAUUAGUAUUAAGUUGCUGAAAUAAUGUUUAUUUUAGUAGCUGAAUUUAAGAUAGAAUGAGCAAGAAUGAUGGUGAUUAUGAAAAUGAUGAUUUUUUUGGACAUUUGAGAUGGAAUAUGUUUCUUUAUGUUAAGUUUGUACCAUUAAUGAAUAUAGUUUAUGAUUUUAAGACUCGUAACAAGUAAUUUCAUGAAUUUUAUGUUUUUAUUUUAUCAUUUAAUUUUUAAUUUUGUAUUAAUCUUUUAGGUAUUGAUUAUAUUCCUUUGGCUGUGGAUCGAAUUGGCAAGGAGCAAAUUUAAUUAACUUGAUUAUUAAUAGCAAGAGGUACGGAAAUGAAUCUGAAUCUACUUUUCAUGAGGCUUUUCUUAGUUGUCUUACGGAAACUGGUGCAAUAGAAAGUUCAUCUUUAUGUGACCUUCCUAAAUAGAUGGAAGGUGAUCAACAGAGAGCCUCUGAACAGACUAAGAACAUCUUAAGUAAUUUAGUUGCUGCUGUUGACAAUUUGUGGUAUCUAAAAGAUGAAAUACAUACUGUAGUCUUGAAAAAACUUUCAGAAAAUGGAUCUUGCUGGCAAAGGACACCAAGUGAAUUAGAUAGAGAGGUUAAGAACUUGAGGGUGGCAUUUACUGACUUGUUUUUGAAGCAUAACACUUUCAAAGAAACUGCAAAGCCAUCGAGAUAUUGAUGCAAAGAAUAAAGCCGAGCUUAGAAUAUUAAGAGGUAACUCCUAGUGAGUGGAGAGAAGGCACUUCAACUUGGAUUGCAAGUAAUUGCAAAGAUUAAGGGCUAUGCUGAUGCAGCUCAGGCACCUGAAUUCUUUACAACUGCUCCAGCCCUUGUGAUACCCAAAGCUAUUUCAAAUGUUGGUUUAGAUGCUUCUCAGAUUGAUUACUAUGAAAUAAAUAAAGCGUUUUCUGUUGUAGCUCUAGCCAAUCAAAAGCUGCUUGAUCUUAAUCCUGUGAGUUUGGAGAAAACUAGAUAAUUUCUUUCAAGUUGAUUUACUUUAUAUGCUUACGGGUGGAAACUAGCUUAAGUCUUGUGUUCUUAAUAAUAAAAGGACUUUUUUUUU